rnacentral:lncRNA from 1 species
CUUGUCCUGUGAUGGGAUAGGAGGAGCCUGACUGUUGCCCCAACAGCAUUCACCAUGGACCUCAGGUGUUCUGGAGCUAGAUGGUGAAGUAUGGGCGUGCUUUAUUCAGUUGUGCAUGACUUAAAAGUUUAGUUUGCUUCUUCUAAGUUGCCGAAAUUCCUGAGAACUCAGGUAAGCAAAAAGAAGACAACAAAAAAGCUCUCAAAUCCUACCCUUUUAGAGAAAACACCAGUUAAAUGUGGUUGUCUGCCCUUCUAUGUAGGGAUGGAUGUGGUGUAGACAUUUUGAUUAAAACCAGGUGUGGGUGACGCUGCCAAAGCUUUGUUUGAGGGGCCUGAGAGCAAGGAAGAGAUUUUGAGAGAAGGGGACCCACAGAGCACGCCAAGGAGCAAUGGGGGCACCUGGGGUGAGGGUGACUGAGUGGAUUUUACCACGGGACAACCGAUGCUCUUGGGAGACUCCCAGAUUAACCCAAAUCCAAACAUAAACGGAGGCCUCGCUGGCUAGACCCUUCCCCCUCCUCUGGACCCCUGCCAGGAAGGUGGGAACCUCUUCCCAGCCCCUUCCUCCCUCAGGCCCUUCCCAUCAGGCCCUGCUCCAAGCCAUAGGGCAUCCCCAACUCUGUUGCCAGGCUUCUGUCACGUGGCGCCGCACUGCCCAUUAACUGCUGUGUAAAACUGAUAACUGUGAUCCAGAGGUUUCUGGACUCCUGGAGCCCCAAGUCAAAGGCUCAGUUUAGCUCCCUCUGGCCUUAAGGCCUCAGAUAAAUGGUCGGGAGCGAUAAAGAGAACAAAACCUGCCAACAGGACUUGUUCCAGGAGAUAAAAGGAGCAGUUACCAGCUGUGGCAAGCUAGGAUUUCCUCCAGACGCCCAUUCUCAAGAAGAGCGGCUUCCAGGGGAGUUCCCUUGUGGCAUAGUGGGUAAAGGAUCUAGCAAGUCAUUGCUGUGGCUCAGGUUCGCUCCCUGGCUCCGGGCACAGUCAAAAAAAAAAAAAAAAAGAAAAAAAAAGAAAGUGUUGUAAACUACAAGUGUAUGUGGAAACCUGAACUGGGAGCGGGGCUGAGGUGGAGCCACUCAGGGCAGGCAAGGACGGGCGCCCACUCGCUCAGACCUCUCCUCUCUCUUUGCUCCUCCCCUCGUGAUGCACCUCUGAGCAACACAGUUUAGAGAAUUCUCCUUGUGCCAAAGCCAGGAUUGGCGGGAGAAACUAGGAAGUUCCAGCUCCUCUGAGGGUGGCUGCGGUCUCAGCCCUCUGAGACAGGGCUGGUCCCUCCUCUUCCUGAGACCCGCUGUGGCUCCCCUGGGGCCAGUCGCCAGGAUGGGCGGGGCACCCAGAGGCAGACAGGAUUGCUUGCUUUCUGGGUUGAUUUUUCUUUCUUUUUAAAUUUUAUUUUAUUUUAUCUUUUUAAUUUUUUUUUUUUUUUUGGCUGCCCCACAGCAUACGGAGGUCCCAGGCCAGGGAUCACAUCUGAGCCACAGGGGCAACCUAAGCUGCAGGUAUGGACUGACCUUUCUUGUAGGCCAGACGACAAGUGGGACGGGCAUUGGGGGGACUCUGAGGCUAGGUGGGGCCAGCCCUAUCCCAAUUUCCCAUCAAUAGUGUUCUCUUGCACAGAGACUGAGGAAGAACCGUGACUCACUUCCUCCCUCAGUCUGACUGUAGAACUAUUGUUCUCCCACUGUGGCUGGUGCUGCUGGAUGGGGCUACCCCAGGCUGGCCCCUAGGAGUCUGCUCCUUGUGGGAGGCAGUUCCCAUUCUGAGAAGGGGCCAACCGGACGUACCUCCCUAACCAACUUUCAGCACCCAUAUUCUUUUUUUUUUGUCUUUUUAGGGCCACACCCGCAGCAUAUGGAGGUUCCCAGGCUAGGCGUUGAAUCGGAGCUGCAGCCGCCUGCCUACACCAUGGCCCCAGCAAUGCCAGAUCCAAGCCUUGUCUGUGACCUACACCACGGUUCAUGACAACGUCAGAUCCUUCAUCCACUGAGGGAGGCCAGGCGUCUUCAUGGAUGCUAGUCAGAUUCGUUUCCGCUGAGCCACAACAGGAACUCCAGCACCCCAUAUUCUUCCCUGUUUCCGGUUUUUGCACUAUUUGGACAGGUGCCCAAAUAGUACCUUGUCCCAUCGGUUGGAUAUUAUCUCCAUUUUACAGAAGGGUAAGUUGAGGCUCUGAGAAUUCAGUAACUUGUCUAAGGUGGCAUGGUAUAAAACACUGCCUUGGGGAUUUGAACUGGUGGCUGGUUGACUUGUCACCUAGUGAGUUACGUCAGGAACUUCUCUGGGUCUGUUUCCUCCUCUGUAAAAUGUAAAUAGGGACACAUGAAAGGUGCCUAAAGGAAUACUGUAUCCACUUUACAGGGUUUGGGGUAAGGACGAAAUAAGCUAACACACGCAAAGAGUUGAGAACUGCUCCUGGCUCAGAGGACACACUCUGAUGUUGUUUUUUUGUAGUUUUUUUUUGUCACUAUCCCCAAACCAGUGUUGAGGAGGCCACAGGAUAAUACUGUGCUGCCAGGUUAUCUCAAAGGGAGCAUGAAGGGAUGGACAGAGACUGCUCUUUGACCUUGGAACAACCCAGCCUGGGGAGCCCUUGGCCCCAUUUCCCCUUUUCUUUCUCAGCUCAAGCAGUAGUGGCCUCCGCCAAGUCGCACAGACGUUUUCUAGGGCAGGGACCCAGGGAGGGAGAGAGGCCGGCUGGUUUAUUGCAAGUAGCUCAGAUUCAGGCUCUGCCAAAGCCCUACAUCUCUUCCAGGCUCUGAGGCCUGCUAGCUGUGGGACACUGGGCAAAUUAUUUAAACUUGGGGCACCUCAGUUUUCUUAUCUGCAAAACGGGGUUAAUAAAGUCAGUCUGAAAGGAUUACGUCGAUUAAAUAAUGUACAUAAGAAGGAGAUGCUACAAAGUGACUGCCCUGGUGCCUGGCA